rnacentral:rRNA from 1 species
CUACGGGUCGCUCCAGUGGGGAAUAUUGGACAAUGGGCGCAAGCCUGAUCCAGCAAUGCCGCGUGAGUGAAGACGGUCUUAGGGUUGUAAAACUCUUUCGCUAGGGAAGAUAAUGACUGUACCUAGUAAAGAAGUCCCGGCUAACUCCGUGCCAGCAGCCGCGGUAAUACGGAGGGGACUAGCGUUGUUCGGAAUUACUGGGCGUAAAGAGUUCGUAGGCGGACUGACAAGUUAGAGGUGAAAUCCCAGGGCUCAACCCUGGAACUGCCUUUAAAACUGUCAGUCUAGAGACCGGAAGAGGUUAGGGGAAUACCUAGUGGAGAGGUGAAAUUCGUAGAUAUUAGGUGGAACACCAGUGGCGAAGGCGCCUAACUGGUCCGGUACUGACGCUGAGGAACGAAAGCGUGGGGAGCAAACAGGAUUAGAUACCCUAGUAGUC